GCAUGUCUCAGUAUAAGUGUUUCACUGCGAAACUGCGAAUGGCUCAUUAAAACAGUUAUAGUUUCCAUGUCAGUUGAUCAUUACCUGGAUAUCCACGGUAAUUCUAGAGCUAAUACAUGCGUCCAGACCCGACUUCUAGGAAGGGUUGUGCUUAUUAGACACUGAACCAUCCCCUGCUUGCAGGGUUUCGAGGUGAUUGAUGGUAAUCGAAUGAAUCGCAUGCUUCGGCGGCGAUGAUUCAUUCAAGUUUCUGACCUAUCAGCUUCCGACGGUAGGGUAUUGGCCUACCGUGGCUUUGACGGGUAACGGAGAAUUAGGGUUUGAUUCCGGAGAGGGAGCCUGAGAAACGGCUACCACAUCUAAGGAAGGCAGCAGGCGCGCAAAUUACCCAAUUUUUUUACAGGGAGGUAGUGACAAGAAAUACCAAUAUGAGGCUAUUUUGUCUUGUAAUUGGAAUGAGCACAAUUUAAAAAGCUGUUCGAGUAUCGAUUGGAGGGCAAGUCUGGUGCCAGCAGCCGCGGUAAUUCCAGCUCCAAUAGCGUAUAUUAAAGUUGUUGCGGUUAAAAAGCUCGUAGUUGGAGUUCUGCCAGGUGCCGCCUGUCCGCCCCAGUGGUGAGUACGUGGCGCGCAUUUGGCCCUUUCAAGGGGAGCGUAUUGCACUUAACUGUGUGGUGCGGGAUCCUUGACUUUUACUUUGAGGAAAUAAGAGUGUUCCAAGCAGGCUCUCGUCGUGCAUAGCUCAGCAUGGAAUAAUAGCAUUGGAUCUCGAUUCCAAACUGUUGGUUGUAGGAAACGAGAUAAUGAUGAAGAGGGAUAGUUGGGGGCAUUCGUAUUUAACUGUCAGAGGUGAAAUUCUUGGAUUUGUUAAAGACGAACUACUGCGAAAGCAUCUGCCAUGGAUGUUUUCAUUGAUCAAGAACGAAAGUUGGGGGCUCGAAG
rnacentral:rRNA from 1 species